rnacentral:rRNA from 1 species
UACGUAGGGUGCGAGCGUUGUCCGGAAUUAUUGGGCGUAAAGAGCUCGUAGGCGGCGUGUCGCGUCGGCCGUGAAAAUCUGGGGCUCAACUCUGGGCGUGCGGUCGAUACGGGCAUCACUUGAGUUCGGCAGGGGAGACUGGAAUUCCUGGUGUAGCGGUGAAAUGCGCAGAUAUCAGGAGGAACACCGGUGGCGAAGGCGGGUCUCUGGGCCGAUACUGACGCUGAGGAGCGAAAGCAUGGGUAGCGAACAGG